GAUGAACGCUGGCGGCGUGCCUAAUACAUGCAAGUCGAGCGAACGGACGAGAAGCUUGCUUUUCUGAUGUUAGCGGCGGACGGGUGAGUAACACGUGGAUAACCUACCUAUAAGACUGGGAUAACUUCGGGAAACCGGAGCUAAUACCGGAUAAUAUUUUGAACCGCAUGGUUCAAAAGUGAAAGGCGGUCUUGCUGUCACUUAUAGAUGGAUCCGCGCUGCAUUAGCUAGUUGGUAAGGUAACGGCUUACCAAGGCAACGAUGCAUAGCCGACCUGAGAGGGUGAUCGGCCACACUGGAACUGAGACACGGUCCAGACUCCUACGGGAGGCAGCAGUAGGGAAUCUUCCGCAAUGGGCGAAAGCCUGACGGAGCAACGCCGCGUGAGUGAUGAAGGUCUUCGGAUCGUAAAACUCUGUUAUUAGGGAAGAACAUAUGUGUAAGUAACUGUGCACAUCUUGACGGUACCUAAUCAGAAAGCCACGGCUAACUACGU
rnacentral:rRNA from 1 species